CCCAUGCCGAACACGAAGGUUAAGCUUCAAAGCGCUGAUGGUACUGCAGGGGAGGCCCUGUGGAAGAGUAAGUCGUUGCCAGAU
rnacentral:rRNA from 1 species